rnacentral:rRNA from 1 species
UGAGGAACAUGACCUUCGGCGGGGGAGUAGCCGGCCCAACGGCCGGGUAAUACCGCGUACGACCACUUUGGGACAUCCCUAGGUGGUGAAAGCAGCAAUGCGCCGAUGGAGUGCCUCGCGGCCUAUCAGCUAGUUGGUGAGGUAACGGCUCACCAAGGCAACGAUGCGUAGCCGACCUGAGAGGGUGAUCGGCCACAUUGGAACUGAGACACGGUCCAGACUCCUACGGGAGCA